rnacentral:lncRNA from 1 species
UUUUUAGACGGUUUAUAAUGUGAGGUUGCUAGAUUAAUUUUUCUAUAAUAUUGAUUAUAUUUGAUGGCAUAGAAAAUAAAUUUAAUAGAUAUAUUUUAUCGCUUGAAUAAAAUAUAGUUAUGAUUUUAAAUUUUAUUAUUUUAACUGAAUUUUGAAUUCUUAUUUUAAAAUUAUAAUAAUUACAAUGUCAAAUGUAUUAUUGUUUUCCAAAAGUUAUAUCUAUAUUAAAUAUAACAAGAUUGUAAAUAGAAAGAAAAAAUUAUAUAUAAUUACAAAAUGGGUCAUCCUAACUAGUGCUAUAAAGAC